rnacentral:misc_RNA from 1 species
AUGAAUUUUGGAGUUCUACUGUGCCUGCCGUUCAUUCGGAUGUGUGCACGUAGUCUCUAUAAAUCCUUAUCAACACCUGUGCACCUUUAAAAAGGGGGGAGUCUGAUUAAGCAUUCUAUGAUGCUUAUGACGAAUAACCUCUUUUCUUAUACAAACUCUUUUAAUGUCUAUUAGAAUGUUCUCUGGCCGCAAGGCUAUAAAAUAUAAA